rnacentral:rRNA from 1 species
ACGGACCAAGGAGUCUAACACGUGCGCGAGUCAGGGGCUCGCACGAAAGCCGCCGUGGCGCAAUGAAGGUGAAGGCCCCGCGCCGCCCCCCGGGGGCCGAGGUGGGAUCCCGAGGCCUCUCCAGUCCGCCGAGGGCGCACCACCGGCCCGUCUCGCCCGCCGCGCCGGGGAGGUGGAGCAUGAGCGCACGUGUUAGGA